rnacentral:rRNA from 1 species
GACGAACGCUGGCGGCGUGCUUAACACAUGCAAGUCGAGCGAUGAAGCACCUUCGGGUGUGAAUUAGCGGCGAACGGGUGAGGAACACGUGAAGAAUCUGCCUUCAACACUGGGAUAACUCCGGGAAACCGGGGCUAAUACCGGAUAUGAAACCUGCGGGCAUCCGCGGGUUUGGAAAGUUUUUCGGUUGAAGAUGAUCUCGCGGCCUAUCAGCUUGUUGGUGAGGUAAUGGCUCACCAAGGCGACGACGGGUAGCCGGCCUGAGAGGGCGACCGGCCACACUGGGACUGAGACACGGCCCAGACUCCUACGGGAGGCAGCAGUGGGGAAUAUUGGGCAAUGGAGGAAACUCUGACCCAGCGACGCCGCGUGCGGGAUGAA